GUUGUUAUUCUGUUCCUGUAGAAACAAAAGUAUGUUUAUGGUUUGGUUCAUUGCUAGAGGUGUUCAAGAUCAAUCGACUAGCACUGCUUGUUGAAGAGUGACAACAGAAUUUUGGGUUUCAUUGAAUCCUAGUUCUUGUACACCACCAGUUCAUGUGUCCCAAAUGGCCAGGAAAUCAGGCAGCUCUGCUAGCCAUGUGGGCCACAGUGAUAAUCAGGUAGGAUAGCUUGACCAUACAUGCCUGAAGUUCCUCUUCAAAUGAAUUUUUACUAUUAUUAUUACUGUUUGUGCAUGACACGACAACUUUUACUUCAAAUACCUUGUUUCAAAUUGAGCUUCUACUUCAAGGUGACUAUUUCAAAUUGAACAAACAUCAUCUACAGACCCACAUCAGCAUGCUUCUGUUGCUUGGUGCCGAUCCAUUCUUAUUAGUUUGGCCUUGAUCACACCAUUACCUGCUGAAAACGCAAGCGUUCAGGCUCCUUCAACCGUAGUUGCUGGUUCAGAACCUGGCCUGCUGGUCAUUACUCAAACAUUUUAGCAGUUGUAAAGCAUUGCGAAGAAAAUGCGAAGUUUGCCAGAGCUGAAGAGCCUAGAGUUAUCAGGGAUGUGCACAAGAUUAACAGCAGGCAGUUCCUGUGUCAAACAGCAGGUAGCAGCAUUCUUUAGGCCUUCUCCAGCCCUUCAGGCAGCUGAUUCAAGCCCAACAG